CAGCCCAUUUGCCCUCGCACCGCACCCCCUCCAGACCACCAAUGUCCGCCUACCACAGCAGCAACCCUGUCGAGGCCCGCCGCGCCGAGUGCGCGCGCCUGCAGGCCAAGUACCCCGGCCACGUCGCCGUGGUUGUCGAGGCGGCCGAAAAGGCCGGCAGCAAGGCGCACUUCCUCGCGCUGCCGCGCGACGCCACCGUCGCCGAGCUCGAGGCGGCCGUGCGCCAGGCGCUCAGCACCAGCGUCAAGAAGGUGACGCUCGCCAUCGAGGGCUCCGCCCCGGCGGUGACCGCCGCGGUCGGCGACAUCGCCGACGCCUGCAAGCGGGACGACGGCUUCCUGUACGUGAGCGUGCGCACCGAGCAGGCCAUGGGCGUAUCCGCGAACCUGUGCUUCUCCACUUACUAACGUGCCGGCCAGGAGGCCAACUGCGCACAUGCGGCCUCCUGGUGUGGGUGAUGCGCUUCAUAUUCCCAUUCUACCUCAUGUGGUGAAUUUUAUAUAUUUUUUUUAUUUCUCCUCUUGUGCGUUUUCUCUCCCACCCGCGUUUCUUUUGGAAGGACGCGCUGUCUCCUACUUGGCGCGCCUGUUGCGGGCGGCGGAAGCCUUUCUGGCUGUCCUCUUGCGCUAUCGCUGUUGUGCCGGUGUAUGGCAACGCGUACGUGCACCGUGCUGCCCGCGCGGCACACACCGUCCCUCCCUCCAUGUGUACAGCCCACUCGCAGUCCUAGCUGCCCCUCCCUACCCACCACCACCACACACACAAGCACGCAUACCUUGACCGCCAACGCCACCCCGCUGCGCUGCAGACGCCGUCGCGUCACGCCCGCCCUUCGCACCAGCGGCCCCGCGGCAGCCCCGCCGGCCGCUCUUGCAGCGGCGCACCGGCCCUGCAUCUGCCUGCUAUUGCAUGACCCCUCUCCCCUGCCACUCCUCGCCCUGCCUCCCUGCCUCCCUCCCCCUCUGCGCCGCGCCGCUGCACGCAG
rnacentral:misc_RNA from 1 species